rnacentral:rRNA from 1 species
GACGAACGCUGGCGGCGUGCCUAAUACAUGCAAGUAGAACGCUGAAGCGAGGAGCUUGCUCUUCUUGGAUGAGUUGCGAACGGGUGAGUAACGCGUAGGUAACCUGCCUUGUAGCGGAGGAUAACUAUUGGAAACGAUAGCUAAUACCGCAUAACAAUGGAUGACACAUGUCAUUUAUUUGAAAGGGGCAAUUGCUCCACUACAAGAUGGACCUGCGUUGUAUUAGCUAGUAGGUGAGGUAAUGGCUCACCUAGGCGACGCUACAUAGCCGACCUGAGAGGGUGGUCGGCCACACUGGGAAUGGGACACGGCCCAGACGCCUACGGGAGGCAGCAGGAAGGAAUCUUCGGCGAUGGGGGCAACCCUUACCGAGCAACGCCGGGUGAGUGAAGAAGGGUUUCGGAUCGUAAAGCUCUGUUGUAAGUGAAGAAAGGGUGUGAGAGUGGAAAGUUCACACUGUGACGGUAGCUUACCAGAAAGGGACGGCUAACUACGUG